UGCAAGUCGAGCGAAUCGAUGGGAGCUUGCUCCCUGAGAUUAGCGGCGGACGGGUGAGUAACACGUGGGUAACCUGCCUGUAAGAUUGGGAUAACUCCGGGAAACCGGAGCUAAUACCGGAUAACAUUUCGAACCGCAUGGUUUGAAAUUGAAAGACGGCGUCUAGCUGUCACUUACAGAUGGACCCGCGGCGCAUUAGCUAGUUGGGGAGGUAACGGCUCACCAAGGCAACGAUGCGUAGCCAACCUGAGAGGGKGAUCGGCCACMCUGGGACUGAAACACGGCCCAAACUCCUACGGGAGGCAGCAGUAGGGAAUCUUCCGCAAUGGACGAAAGUCUGACGGAGCAACSCCSCGUGAACGAUGAAGGCCUUCGGGUCGUAAAGUUCUGUUGUUAGGGAARAACAAGUACCAAAGUAACUGCUGGUACCUUGACGGUACCUAACCAGAAAGCCACGGCUAACUACGUGCCAGCAGCCCCGGUAAUACGUAGGUGGCAA
rnacentral:rRNA from 1 species